UGAUUCCAGACAGCAUCGGAAAAGACAUAGAAAAGGCCUGCCAGUCCAUCUACCCUCUCCACGAUGUCUUCGUCAGGAAAGUCAAAAUGGUGAAGAAGCAAG